AUCAGAGUGAUCGUUCUCGAUAUUCGCGGCUUCUACGCCGAACUUUUCGACAUCUUCACCAAGAACAUGGAAAAGCUGACCAACCCGAAAGGAGAGGAGAAACCGUCCAUGUACUGAGAGGAGACGGCGGAUUUAUCACGUUCAAUAUCAAUCUUCAUUUUCGGAUUAUUGUCAGAAAUAUCUGCAUCAGGGGUUUGUCACUGAGGUUGUAUGACAAUUUAGUUUUUCUUUUUUACAGACACUUGCACUAAAUUUAAGUUGUACAACUACGAGUUAAAAAAAAGAAAUAAAAGUUUUUCAAAUUG